rnacentral:rRNA from 1 species
GAUAAACGCUGGCGGCGUGCCUAACACAUGCAAGUCGAACGAUCCCGCAAGGGAGAGUGGCGGAAGGGUGAGUAACACGUGGGAAUCUACCUCCUCGCAGGGAACAACCUCUCGAAAGAGAGGCUAAUACCCAAAAGGGUCAGAAAUGAUCAGAGUCGAAAGGCGUGAGGAGAGGAGCCCGCGGCCCAUCAGCUAGUUGGUGAGGUAAUGGCUUACCAAGGCUACGACGGGUAGGGGAUCUGAGAGGAUGUCCCCACACUGGAACUGAAACACGGUCCAGACGCCUACGGGUGGCAGCAGUGAGGAAUAUUGGACAAUGGGCGAAAGCCCGAUCCAGCAACGCCGCGUGGAGGAUGAAGGCCUUCGGUCGUAAACUUCUUUAGAGGGAGACGAGAAAGGACGGUAUCCCUAGAAUAAGCGACGGCAAACCUACGUAGCCAGCAGCCGCGGUAAU